rnacentral:rRNA from 1 species
ACGCACGCUGGCGGCGUGCUUCACCCCUGCCAGUCGAACGGAAAGGCCCUGCUUGCAGGGUACUCGAGUGGCGAACGGGUGAGUAACACGUGGGUGAUCUGCCCUGCACUUCGGGAUAAGCCUGGGAAACUGGGUCUAAUACCGGAUAGGAGCCAUUUUUAGUGUGAUGGUUGGAAAGUUUUUUCGGUGUAGGAUGAGCUCGCGGCCUAUCAGCUUGUUGGUGGGGUAAUGGCCUACCAAGGCGGCGACGGGUAGCCGGCCUGAGAGGGUGGACGGCCACAUUGGGACUGAGAUACGGCCCAGACUCCUACGGGAGGCAGCAGUGGGGAAUAUUGCACAAUGGGCGCAAGCCUGAUGCAGCGACGCCGCGUGGGGGAUGACGGCCUUCGGGUUGUAAACUCCUUCCGCUAGGGACGAAGCUUUUUGUGACGGUACCUAGAUAAGAAGCACCGGCUAACUACGUG